rnacentral:rRNA from 1 species
CCUACGGGAGGCUGCAGGGGGGAAUAUUGCACAAUGGGGGCAAGCCUGAUGCAGCGACGCCGCGUGAGCGAUGAAGGCCUUCGGGUCGUAAAGCUCUGUCCUAAGGGAAGAAUAAUGACGGUACCUUAGGAGGAAGCCCCGGCUAACUACGUGCCAGCAGCCGCGGUAAUACGUAGGGGGCGAGCGUUAUCCGGAAUCACUGGGCGGAAAGGGUGCGUAGGCGGCCAAUUAAGCCAGGGGUGAAAGGCUACGGCUCAACCGUAGUAAGCCUUUGGAACUGAAUGGCUUGAGAGCAGGAGAGGGGAGUGGAAUUCCUAGUGUAGCGGUACACCGGGUAGAUAUUAGGAGGAACACCAGUGGCGAAGGCGAAUCUCUGGACUGUAACUGACGCUGAGGCACGAAAGCGUGGGGAGCGAACAGGAUUAGAUACCCGAGUAGUC